rnacentral:rRNA from 1 species
UACGUAGGGCGCAAGCGUUAUCCGGAAUUACUGGGCGUAAAGGGCGCGUAGGCGGCCUUCUAAGUCGAACGUGAAAUCCCCGGGCUCAACCCGGGAACUGCGUCCGAGACUGGAAGGCUUGAAUCCGGGAGAGGGAUGUGGAAUUCCAGGUGUAGCGGUGAAAUGCGUAGAUAUCUGGAGGAACAUCGGUGGCGAAGGCGGCAUCCUGGACCGGUAUUGACGCUGAGGCGCGAAAGCCAGGGGAGCAAACGGG